rnacentral:rRNA from 1 species
GACGAACGCUGGCGGCGUGCUUAACACAUGCAAGUCGAACGGAAAGGCCCUGCUUUUGUGGGGUGCUCGAGUGGCGAACGGGUGAGUAACACGUGAGUAACCUGCCCUUGACUUUGGGAUAACUUCAGGAAACUGGGGCUAAUACCGGAUAGGAGCUCCUGCUGCAUGGUGGGGGUUGGAAAGUUUCGGCGGUUGGGGAUGGACUCGCGGCUUAUCAGCUUGUUGGUGGGGUAGUGGCUUACCAAGGCUUUGACGGGUAGCCGGCCUGAGAGGGUGACCGGCCACAUUGGGACUGAGAGACGGCCCAGACUCCUACGGGAGGCAGCAGUGGGGAAUAUUGCACAAUGGGCGGAAGCCUGAUGCAGCAACGCCGCGUGCGGGGUGACGGCCUUCGGGUUGUAAACCGCUUUCGCCUGUGACGAAGCGUGAGUGACGGUAAUGGGUAAAGAAGCACCGGCUAACUACGUG